rnacentral:rRNA from 1 species
AUUGAACGCUGGCGGCAGGCCUAACACAUGCAAGUCGAACGAGUGGCGGACGGGUGAGUAAUGUCUGGGUAACUGCCCGACGGAGGGGGAUAACUACUGGAAACGGUCGCUAAUACCGCGUACGCUCGGAUGUGCCCAGAUGGGAUUAGCGUGUAGGUGGGGUAACGGCUCCCCUCGGCGACGAUCCCUAGCUGGUCUGCGAGGAUGACAAGCACCACUGGAACGGAGACACGGUCCAGACUCCGACGGGAGGCAGCAGUGGGGAAUAUUGGACAAUAGGCGAAAGCCUGAUCCAGCCAUGCCGCGGGUGUGAAGAAGGUCUUCGGGUUGUAAAGCACUUUAAGUUGGGAGGCGUUACCAACAGAAUAAGCACCGGCUAACUUCGUGCCAGCAGCCGCGGUAAUAC